rnacentral:rRNA from 1 species
UAGCGUAUAUUAAAGUUGUUGCGGUAAAAAAGCUCGUAGUUGGAUUUCUGUUGAGGGCGACCGGUCCACACCACGUGUGCGCAUCUGGCUUCGACCUCGGCAUCCUCUCGUUGAAUCGUUUCUGCGCUUCAUUGCGUGGAGCGGAUCGCGGGACCUUUACUUUGAGGAAAUUAGAGUGUUCACGGCAGGCUAUCGCCAGAAUACAUUAGCAUGGAAUAAUACUAUAGGAUCACGGUUCUAUUUUGUUGGUUUCUAGAAUUGUGAUAAUGAUUAAUAGGGACAAUUGGGGGCAUUCGUAUCAACACGUC